AACGUAGGAGACGAACGUUAUCCGGAGUUACUGGGCGUAAAGGGCGUGCAGGCGGCCUGAUAAGUUCGGCGUGAAAUUUCCCGGCUUAACCGGGGGAUGUCGUCGGAGACUGUCGGGCUAGAGGGUGAUAGAGGCGUGUGGAAUUCCGGGUGUAGUGGUGAAAUGCGUAGAGAUCCGGAGGAACACCAGUGGCGAAGGCGACACGCUGGGUCAUACCUGACGCUGAUGCGCGAAAGCUAGGGGAGCAAACAGG
rnacentral:rRNA from 1 species